AGUGAGCAAGGCAGGUGUGAGCUCUUACCUCCUGGAUCCUGGAGUCUGGAUGGGAAUCCAUUAAAAGAAUUUAACUUCAGUCUCCAGAUCUCACCAACUGUGACUGCAGAUAUGUCAUGUAACCUUCAGUAUUCAAACCAAAGCAAUCUGGAGCAGUCUACUUAGAAAGAUUUCCUAGAAUCAUACCUUGCCCUCAGGUGAGAUCAUCUGCCAAUGAGAUAAGACUGUAUUCCUGACCAUGAUGUGAAAAGAUGUCAGACACACCUCAUUCUACCCCCUCAUUUAGGAAAAACUGACCAGCAUUAACAUUACAAUAGAGAUCAUAUAACUGCCAAAACAGACUAUUUUGUGGCGACAAGAUACCAAAUUCUAACCUGAUUCUGGGAUAGCAUCACCGUGAUAGGAAGGACACAAAGUCCAGGAGACUUGCAUUUGGGGCUGGAGUGCAAUGGCACGAUCUCGGCUCACCGCAACCUCUACCUCCUGCAACCCAGAGAUUUACUUCUUGUCUACGAGGAACAAUGAGCCCCUGGCCCAACCUGUGGAACACAGGCCAUGCAAGUGAUUAAGGCCCUGAGUUUUGGAUUCAAUGAAUGUUGCCACGUGGAGGUUGUUAAGGGGAGGACGUCCCGUGAAAAUGCUGUAAAAGCUGCAGACUGCUUGCAAGCAGUUAGCGUUUUCCUGCCCAGCCCGAUGCUGCUGGGCUGUGCGUUUAUCUUGCUCAGCCCAUGUCCCUGGACUUGUCCAGCCAACUGCCGCUGCGCCAUUUCUGGAGGUAAGGUGGUUCUCCAGUCCAGCCUGUCACUCUGGACCCUCUCCCCUGUAUGGAAGCCCCUAGAAAAACCCCAUAUUUCAUUUCCUGGACCUGGGUCUCUUCUACCUCUUGAACCUGUUUCCUUCCCUACUGAGCUUAAUAACGGAGGCUGGGUACAGCAAC